CCCCUUGUCAUAUGCCGUGGCACUCCCUAUGUUCGGAAGUGCAGGAGGGGCUUGCCCCUUGGCUAUGGCGAUAAACGGCGCGUGGAAUAAGUGUUGUGGACCCGGGGGCGGUACCCGGCGUCUCCACCAGCUUUCCCCCAAUAGGGGAAUAUGGGGACGAAACAGGCUCGACACGCAUGGUAAAGACCCGCCUUUUGCCCGGCAUUGUACCACCGUUAUCGGGCUAAAUCACAAGUGCCAACGAUAACUCUGAGGUGCUCGCUGUCGCUGCAUAAGCGAUAAGCGCGGUUCGGGAGGGCACCGGGCAACAGAAGCCCUCCCACU
rnacentral:tmRNA from 1 species